CCUCUGCCGUCCCCUUCUCCUUGUGCCCUCCAUCUUUCCCAACAUCAGGGUCUUUUCCAGGGAGUCUUCUCUUCUCAUGAGGUGGCCAAAGUAUUGGAGCCUCAGCUUCACAAUCUGCCCUUCCAGUGAGCACUCAGGGCUGAUUUCCUUCAGAAUGGAUAGGUUUGUUCUUCUUGCAGUCCAUGGGACUCUCAAGAGUCUCCUCCAGCACCAUAAUUCAAAAGCAUCAAUUCUUCGGCGAUCAGCCUUCUUUAUGGUCCAGCUCUCACUUCCAUACAUCACUACUGGGAAAACCAUACCUUUAACUAUACGGGCCUUUGUUGGCAAGGUGAUGUCUCUGCUUUUUAUUUACUAGUACUGUUCCCUAUUACCCCAAAAAACAGCCGCAAUUUGCUGUUGACAAAGGACAGCUGGACAUAUAAAGGGCCCCAUUACCUUCAGUACCUUAGGGCCUCAUCAAAGCUAAAUCCGGCCCUGUGUGCAUUGUUCUUCUCCUCCUCAUUUAAUCUCUGCAACCACCCUGUGAGGUAGGCUGAGAGAAGACAGUGACUGGCCCAGUGUCACCCAGUGAGUUUCAUGGCCAAGUGGGGGUUCAAACCACGUCCUCAUCAUACACGCUAACCACUAAACCACACUGGCUCUCAAAGAGGCAGCAUUAAGCCCUAAUGUGAACAUAACCUUGGAUUCCCAUAGGUUUCUUUCUAGGUGCCUGGUGUUUUAUGAUUGGAAAUAUUUUGUACCUUUUUAAUUAAAUUAGAAAAAGUGCCCAGUGCUGUUUGCUUUUGUUUCUCUGAAUGCAGACCUACUAGAGGGAUGGAAACUGACUCGUCGAAGGAGAUAUUUGCAUCACUCUCUUUUCAGAAGCUGAUGAGGUUGGCAUAUGGAUCCGGGACCAAUAAAUGAAAAGUCACACAUCUGCGGAGAAACAAUAAAAAUAGCAAAAUAUUCUUUGGAUGGAAAUCUUCCCGUAUAAUAGGCUGGCCGUUAACGCCGACUGCAGAGAUUAAAAAAAUAUAUAUAUGGCGAAAUGGGAAACACAGGAGUAAGGGAGCUAGUUUCAGCUCAAGGGAGAUAACUGUUUCCCUAGCCAGACGACAUAAGGACUAUUGUUCUUAGCUCUCUGGUUGUGGCGUUUGAGAAGUUACACUAUGGAAAAACAUUUGGAACAGAAGCCUUAUUUGGGGACCAGAAAUGUGGUGUUUUUCAGAAGUGUUCCCCAUAGCGAAGGGGACUAGAGGCAACUGAGAAGGCACCUAACCCACAUCACACUAUAAAACAGGCCAAUGAUUCAUCCUGAAACUGAUGAAAAAAGCUUUCUUCAUUGCCGUUUUUUUUUUAUAAAACUGCAAAUAUAACGACAGAGGGGGGGAAAGGAGAAAAGGGGAUCUCUUCUUGUUUCUUUUUGGCAAUGCAAAUAUAAGCAUCCUACAUAUGGUGAAGGCUAGGACACAGCCCGUUCCAUGGGCUUGUAUUUAUAAGGAUGUGCUGGGUCCUAGGAAACAGAACACAAAGGCUGAGGAGCUGCACGAGGACCACCUAUUAAGCUGACUUCUAUAGAGUUAGAUGAUUAGUGGCUCACUUUGUUGUUGUUGUUUAGUCGUUUAGUCGUGUCCGACUCUUCGUGACCCCAUGGACCAGAGCACGCCAGGCACUUCUGUCUUCCACUGCCUCCCGCAGAUUGGUCAAACUCAUGCUGAUAGCUUUGAGAACACUGUCCAACCAUCUCGUCCUCUGUUGUCCCCUUCUCCUUGUGCCCUCCAUCUUUCCCAACAUCAGGGUCUUUUCCAGGGAGUCUUCUCUUCUCAUGAGGUGGCCAAAGUAUUGGAGCCUCAGCUUUAGGAUCUGUCCUUCCAGUGAGCACUCAGGGCUGAUUUCCUUAAGAAUGGAUAGAUUUGUUCUUCUUGCAGUCCAUGGGACUCUCAAGAGUCUCCUCCAGCACCAUAAUUCAAAAGCAUCAAUUCUUCGGCGAUCAGCCUUCUUUAUGGUCCAGCUCUCACUUCCAUACAUCACUACUGGGAAUACCAUAGCUUUUACUAUACGGACCUUUGGUGGCUCACUUACACACCAACAAAAAAAUGGUCCAUCAAACAGGGGGCACAGAUUUGCCUGUGUCGGUUUAUGCAUAUUGUCGCAGGGCCUUCUCAGCGGUGGCCCCACAAUUAUGCCAUUUGGUUCCUCUGGAGGUUAGGCAGGUCCUGUCCCAUGAGGCCUUGAAGACCUACUUCUCCCCUAAGGCCUCUGCAACUUCAUAAAAGGAAGAACUGCAAAUUAGGGCUGUUGUGCCAGGGUCUGGCUGAGUUGCACUGUUACUACAGUGGUACCUCUGGUUACGAACGCUUCUGGUUACGAAUGCUUCAGGUUACGAACUCCGCUAACCCGGAAGUAGCUGCUCCUGGUUGCAAACUUUGUCCCAGGAUGCGAACGGAAAUUGUGCACCAGAGGCGCGUGUGCAGGGGGAAACCCCAUUAGCGGAAACGCGCCUCAGGAUAAGAACAGUUUCAGCUUAAGAACAGACCUCUGAACGAAUUAAGUUCGUAAGGAGAUGUACCACUGUACAUUUUACUUUACUUUUUUGCUGGCUGUUUGACUUUUUAUCAUUAUGAAAUGGUAGAACAUGGGAUUCUUAAUCUCAGGGUUUGAGCCCCAUGUUGGGGAACAGAUUCCUGCAUUGCAUUGCGGUCCUUUCCAACUCUACAGUUCUAUGAUUCUAUGAUAUUAAAUGGUUUUAUGUGGUCUUGUAUUUGGAAUUGGAUUGCAUUUUAUAUAUUUUGCGAGUCAGGAUCUUGUAGAACUCCAUCCGAAAUGGAAACAGUAGCAGAAGUUGUCACAUUUUGCAUGUUCGUCAGAGGUCAAGAACAGAAAUCCGGCAAGUGAAUCCAAGCAGUUUUCUCUAUUUUUAGUUUCAGUUUUUUAAAACAAAUUGCAUUUUCUGCAUUGCUUUUGACAUUUGCCUUCCAUUGAAAUGCACCAGCUUUAUUUUCAUAGUUAACUACAUGAUUAAUUACAGUAGUUUUGACCAUAGUGGGCAGCAAGGCUCAAGCAGAAGACGAACUGUAAUAAAAGAGAAACAGCUAUGAUUGCUCCAGACACAGGACAGCAUGGAAACUGCUGCCUCCUUACAUCCCUAAAUUGUGAGCCACUUUUUAGAGGAGCAAGUGGAUUACAAAUCCAAUCCAAUAAGUAAACAAAUAAGACCUGUGUCAGUCCCAGACUUUUGUCCUCAAUCCUUUGCAAAGUUCAGUUUCAUGAGAAGGGGUUUUGUGAUGAAUCGCAAGGAAUGUGCUUGGGCUAGGAGCAGAGACUAUAGAAUCCAUUCAGGACAGUAUCCUGCAGUCCGGAAUUCCGUGGGUGAGAAAGUAUAAUUUUACAUGGAUUAACUAUUCCCUGUGCUGUCUUCGGAGGAUCUCUCCCGUCAUUUGUCUCAUCUCUGGCGUUUACACCACCAUUAGUCUCUGCGAAAAGAAACUCUGCACUUCUUUUGUUCCCACAAAAGCAACAAAUGGGGUCACCGAUAGGAAAUGCCAAAAGCCAUCGUUCAUCAGCUUGUUUUUUUAAUAUGAAAAAUUGAUCACACUACCCUUUGCUAAAGGGAGGAGGACAAAGACAAAUGAUGUAGUCUGAAAUCAAAACUACACAGCAGACCAAACUUUAUGGUGUGCACAUGGAAGCUGUACAUAGAUUGGCUUUGUAAUAUCUUCUUUUUAAAAGAUGGCGUGAACGGCCCAAAUUGUGGGUGUCAUAUUUGAGGCAAACCUCAUUAUCUGCAAGCUGUUUCUGAUUAAUCUUUCGUUUCGUUUUCACUCUAGCCCCACCCCACAGGUCGUUCUUCUAUAAUUUGGCCCUUUCCCAAACGAAAAUAAUGUGGAAAGAUUUUUUAAAAAACAAAAUAAUGGAUUCCCUGUGGUUGCUGCCCUGUGGUCUUCUUGUUCUUCCUGUUUCUUCUCAUUAUGAUAGAGAGGGAGGCUUUGGAACCUGUUUUGUAUUUGCGUUUCUUUCAAAUCUCAUUUUUAAUGGCACCUGCCAUUAUGACAUGACUAGAGGGUAGACCAGACAAGUGAGGAGGCAUUAGGCAGCCUUUGGUACGGAGACCUAUCAGAAAGAGGUCCAGGCGCACUGAUGCUUCCCACUGUCUGAGAAACACUGACCUAUACAGACUUGAAGCUCCCAGAUCUGCUUUCCGUCAAGUUUGACGCUACUGAGUUACGUUGUCUACACUCCAUGCAUUUAAAGGUACAUUCUACCCACACAAAGAACACUGGGAUCUAUAGUUUACCCCUCACAUAGCUACAAUUCUCAGCAUCCUUAAAAAACUACAUUUCCCAAGGUUCUUUGUGUGUGUGUGGAGGGGUUGCUUUAAAUGCAUGAUGUGUACACAGCCUCAUGUGAAUUAUUGGCCUGACUCAUUCUUACCAAAGAGUUCUUUAUAUUGUUACGAAAGUUGGGUGCCCCCUGCUCUCUCUGCCAAGUGGGUAGCAAAAGUCCAUGGGGUUUCCGGCACUCACACAGGGUCUGUGUUCCUUUGGAGAACUGAGACAUGGUGGAGACUGCCAUAGCUUUAAGAAAUAGUGUUUAUUCACCUAUUUACACACCUUCGGCCUGCAUGGAGGCGUCAGUUUGCAUUUCUUGGUGCAGAAAGUAUUGAUCUGAUGUGUAGAGAUCUUCCCUAUUCUAAUUAGUCCAAGAGGGUUCCGGAAGCUUCUCUGUGUGAAAGAAACAAGCAGAAGGUUCAUGAUGUUUGGGUUAUUCCUUCAGAGAAGCUGAGUACAGCUGGUUUAAACUGCUUCUUUUAGCUCUUCUGUCAAGGUCAUGCUGACUAUAAAAGUAAGGCCAAAAGGAUCCUGGGUUUCAGUUUCUCUUUCUAUCUCUUUUCCUUCUGGUGUGGUGUUCUGUACAUAGUAUGCUUAGUGUUAAGGUUUAGACUUAUUAUAAGUUAUUGUAAGUUUAAGUUAAGUCUGCUGCAACUGGAUUUUGCCCUUAGAAGCAGUAAAGCUCUGCUGGAUGAAAUACAAUUGCCUCUGGUCUAUUUUGGGGGGAAUCUUGCAACGUGUUUACUCUGCUAACUAUACAUUGGAGUUCUGCUCUGGAUCAAUAAUGAGUAGAAUUCCAUGACAGGAGGAAGUCCAGAUCUUACAGCAUGGUCAUCUCAAGAUGGGCUUGUCCUGCACAGCAGUGCAGCCCUGGAAUUCAAGGCAUCUCUCCCAGUCAGCCUUCAGCCAGCCUGCCCAAGAUGGAUCCCAGUCUUUUCUCUUCCUUUCUUCUACCCAGAAACCCUUUCCCAAACCCUCUUCCCCUGUCACCUCACACCCAGUUACCAUGGCAACCUUCCAACCCUCCCCCCCCAUUUAUUAAUUUCUAGGGUUUAGGGAGGCUUCCCCCCAAAUCUGUAACAAUAUCCAUACUGCAGAUGGCUCUCGCUGGUGCAGUGGCAAAUCAUGAUGCGGUGCAGACACUCUUCAUGACAAUCCCAUAGCCUUGCCCCUUCUACAACAAAAAAGGAUUUUUGAUCAACGCAGACAUUAUGAUUUCAAUACAAACCAAUUUUUACUCUCGGGUCUCCUCCUGUUUUUCCAGCCAAGUGGACAGUUGAGAACAGCCAAGGUUUAGCCACUACUUUGUGUCAUCAAGGUGACUUUAUUCAGUCUAAAAUAUAAUCAUGGAAUUGCAGAGUUGGAAGGGACCACAAGGGUCAUCUAGUCCAACCCCCUUGAAUGCAGGAAUCUUUUGCCGCACGUGGGACUCAAACCCACAACCCUGAGAUUUAGUGCCUCGUGUCUUACCAACCAAGCUAUCCAGUUAGAAGUGGAAAUUUAUCUUCUAGUGUAACUUACCUCUUCCUCUGGUUAACUUACUUGGCAGGUUUCUCUUUGAGGGGGGAAAAACUACACAAUUUAUUUGGCCAGCAGAAGAUGGCAAAAUUGUGCCCCAGGAGAUGGCACCCUUGUCCCUACGGUGAAAUAAGUGGCACCACAUUUUCCUGGACUUCCCCAUCUCCACUACACCACUGAACACACUAGCUCAGAGCUAGGGCAAUAUGUGCAGAUUUGUAAACCGUAGGACAACGCUUGCAUUUUAUCCGACUUGAGUGCAGUCUUCCUCUCCUGUUUUGCCAUCUAUGCAAAAGUUUACUCCUCCAGCCAGCAACUGCGUGCAAAGAGAAAGUGCAGACUUGUGAAGGAAUAAUUCUUUCCCCUCAUACGUGAGGAACAUGUUAAGGACAUCUCUGCUGCAGGGAGGGGGAGGGGGAGAGCAAAAAGUUAAGGAAAUAAAUUUGUUUCCCGGUUGUUAUCAUGAGACCUGACAGCCUUAACUUUACCACACUCUGAAACUGUUGUAAACAUGAUGAUGCAGAGAAAGUACAGUGGUACCUCGGGUUAUAGACGCUUCAGGUUACAGACUCCGCUAACCCAGAAAUAUUACCUCAGGUUAAGAACUUUGCUUCAGGAUGAGAACAGAAAUUGCGCGGCGGCGGCGGAGCAGCAGCAGCAGCAGCGGGAGGCCCCAUUAGCUAAAGUGGUACCUCAGAUUAAGAACGGUUUCAGGUUAAGAAUGGACCUCCAGAACGAACUAAGUUCUUAACCCGAGGUACCACUGUACAGUGGAACCUCGGGUUGUGAAUGUGAUGCGUGCAGGAGGCACGUUCACAACCCGCAGCGUUCGCAACCCGCAGCGCCGCGUCUGCGCAUGCACGGGUUGCAAUUCGGCGCUUAUGCGCAAAGCGGAAUUUAGCGUUUCUGCGCAUGCGCGAGCGCCAAAACCCGGAAGUAACCUGUUCCGGUACUUCUGGGUUCAGCGUGGUGCGCAACCUGAAAACGGGUAACCUGAAGCGUCUGUAACCCGAGGUACCACUAUAUACUUCAGAGUCAAGGAAUUGGGGGAAAUUCUCUUCCAGCUUAGUCACUUAGGGCUGAUCCAGACUUCCUUUUGUGCUGUGUUUCAAGGCACAGAUCUGCGCUUUAAAGCUCCAUGUCCAAGCACUUUUUCUCCCCUGUCACUUUCCCCACAAAAAUCCCUGCAUUCCAGGGGGUUGGACUAGAUGACCCUUGAAGUCCCUUAUAACUCUACAGUUCUAGGAUUCUAUGAAAACCACUGAAUUGGACAAACAGCAAUCUGAGGAAAACCGAAAGUAUGAAGUGAAGUCUUUACAAAGGUUUUCAGCGGCCAACCCACACCUGUCUAGACACGCAGUGGAAAAUAGAGCAUCCCUCAACAUUCAGGACUGGAUAGCUGACUUGCAGACCAGGCCUAUAUAUUCUCCCUUGGAAUUAACUUCCAGUAAACCAUUGCAUAAGCAAUCCUAAUUCUGCUGAGGGUGAGUAAACCUGUCUGAAGACGGUAGAACAUGUCCUUUUAUUUAAAAUGCAUCUCUGGGUUAUUUGUGGGGCAUAGAAAUUUGUUCAUUCCCCCCCCCCAAAAAAAAAUAGUCCGGCCCACCACAUGGUCUGAGGGACGGUGGACCGGCCCAUGGCUGGAAAAGGUUGCUGACCCCUGGAUUACACACACACAAGCAGUUAACCAUUUGGGGGGGAAGAAGUGAAUCUGGCAGAUUUUGUUGUGUGUGGUUUUCUGUGACACCAAGCAUCCAACUUCAGAUUUUUUAAAGAAGAAACAAAAGAGACAUAGCCCUACACAAAGACGUAGACUUCAAUGAGCCUCAGGCCUCUUGCUCCUCCUCUGUAGGGUCACUACCUGACCCUUUUAAUAAGGGACUGUCCCUUAUUUCAAGGGGAAAUGCUGCAUCCCUUAAGGCAGAGGCAUAACUACAGGGGCAGGGUGCACUGGGCGGCAUUUACCACCGGGCCUGCAGCGCGCCCAAGCCAUGCGUCUCUUCUGCGAAUGCUGUGGUGGCUCGGGUGCCUGCAGGCUCCACACUGCCCGAAACAGCCUUAAGGGAUACAGUUUGUCCCUUAUUUCUGCCUUGCUUUCUUUUCCCCAGGGAUGCGGGUGGCAUGUGGGUUAAACCACAGAGCCUAGGACUUGCAGAUCAGAAGGUUGGCAGUUUGAAUCCCCGCGAUGGGGUGAGCUCCCGUUGCUCGGUCCCUGCUCCUGCCAACCUAGCAGUUCGAAAGCAUGCAAAGUGCAAGUAGAUAAAUAGGUACCGCUCCGGUGGGAAGGUGAACGGUAUUUCCGUGCGCUGCUCUGGUUCGCCAGAAGUGGCGUAGUCAUGCUGGCCACAUGACCCGGAAGCUGUACGCUGGCUCCCUCGGCCAAUAAAGUGAGAUGAGCGCCGCAACCCCAGAGUCGGCCACGACUGGACCUAAUGGUCAGGGGUCCUUUACCUUCUUCUCCCCACCUCCUCCUCCACCUCGCGAGGCCCCAGACACCACCUCCGGGGUUUGGGGACACAACUUCUAGGUCUUCGCGAAGCACUGGAAGCCAUGUCCUGAGGCCUCCAAGGUGGCCUCUGAGGCCUUGUGAGUCCCCUGACAUGACUUUCAGGGCUCCCAGGCACCGCUACAUCAUGCACACUGCUGGGCACCGAUAAUCUGGGGCCCAAGUUGGCACCCCUGAUGAUGCAUGUAUGUGUGUGGCAUUAGCAGCUGCACAGAAAGGGAUGUUGGAGGCAAAGCUCUGUGAGGAAAAGAAACAGAUUUUGUUGCUGUCUUCACCCCUCUUUCUUUUUUGACUGAGUUUUCUAUGUUUACCAUUCUUCUGACAAGGAGAAGCCUAGCAGGUGGGGAGGAUGUGAGUCAUGGAAACUAAUGUGCAUUGCUAACUUAGAUCUGUACAUUUCAUUGGGUCUCCUCUAUGAGUAUGACCAGCACUGGAAACAACUCCUUGUAAUGGAUUGCUUUGAAGUCAUUUCUGCACUGGGUAAAGUAAUUUUUAGCCCCCCAGUUCCCCCUUCCCGACUUGAGCCACAUUUUGCCCAACCCUACUCCUCUGGCACAGCCACAAGUAGGAGUUUAGGAAGAGCCCUGCUGGAUCAAGACAAAAAAAGCCUAUCUAGAUGCUCACAAGCUGGACCUGAGCACAAUAGCUCUUUGCAGCAACUGGAAAUCAGAGGGAUACUGCCUUUGAUAAGGGACCUUGUGCAGCUGAAGUACUAGUAGCCAUUGAUAGUAUUGUCCUCCAUGAAUUUGGAAGGUAUCCCUUUCCAUUUCAGAUUAAACUACUCAGCUUGCCCUGCUGCCUCGAACAGGACAAACUGUGGUUAUUCCUAACUACGGUUUCUUCAGGCAAGCCAACUUCAAACCAUUGUUUAUAAAGAUGGCUUGUUUCAACAAGCCCCAGUUUAUCUACAGGUUCAGGGUUUGGGCAACACAAGAAACUGCAGUUAAUAUUCUAAAGCAUAAGCUUCCAAAUCCUACCCACUUCUUAGAGGAGAAAAGAGCGUGUGAGCCUGAGGGUCGCUGAGGUUCGUUCUCAUAAUUCUAAAUUGCGAUUUAGCGUUACAUCCAAACGUAGCUGAAUAGCGCUGAAGGAAAUCUCCCCAUGUGUGUAUUGUUAAAGGUGCUCGAAUAAUCUUCUGCAACGUAUCUGGAAAGCCCCCUGUUUUCUCAUAUAACCUGCAGUCUGCAAAAUGUGAGGCCUACGUUUGCAACUGUUACUAGGAGUGAAAUCCUUUAUGUGACCCAAGGGAGAUGUGAAAUGCAAGCUCCCUUCCAUGGUAUCCCAGUGUAAGCCAUGCCAGCAGCUCCAGUAUAAUGUUUUCCAAUAUUUUUUUAUGAUCUCAUGUUUAGAUUAUAUUUGUUCUGCUGGAAAGGUGUGAGGUCUGAGUGAUUCCUUUAGGAAGGGGGAGUGGGGGAGACACCAGGUUGUCCCCAAGGUUGAGGGGGCCUGGACUCUUUGCAACAAAGAUUGAGGGGGUCAAAGACACGUCAGCCCCCUAAAAUUGGCAUGCCAGGCAGGGAUAGCAGGAUUUAGCUAUAUCUGGGGCAAGGAUGAGACAAAAUCAAUGUCUCCAGCUGAUGUGCUAAGAUCUUGGCCCAAACAAUAAGAUAACAGGAUCUCGGUCAAGGAUUGAAGAGUUUGAACCAAAAUUAUUCAGUUCUCCCCUCCAUCAAACUAUUGUGAAUCAUGGACACAGAAGCAACCCAAGCUGCUCUGAGUCAUGACUUUGUGGCGUCUACAGCAGGAUUCAGCUAAGUUGUUGUGUGCGCAGAAUGAGGUCUGCUCGCACACCAGGACUUUCCCCUCCCCUCGCACACCACCACACUCUCCCUAAAUCUGCCCUGGAGAGUUUAGGGGAAACCCAGAAUGUGUUCAGACAUAAGACAAUUGCACACUCAAGCCUAUUCAACAUUCCUCUGCAUAUCAAAGCCUUUUUCCACCUUAACAAGCCAUUGCCUACAACUGACAAAAUGACUGCCCAAGUGCUCUACACCUGCAAAUUCUGUUUCCUUUGAUAUGCCACAGCAUGCAUGUGCUGCUGGGCUGUCAACCAUCAAGCACAAGGUUCUUAUCAGGUCCUUCAAGGUCCUUACUAUGGGCUGCCCAACUCAAUGCAGAUGAUCAAACAUUGGCAUUUACCAGUGAGUAUUGUUUUUAGACAAUACUCUUUUUGUUUUCUAGACAAACCUAGAUAGCAUCUUAAAAAGUAGAGACAUCACCUUGCCAACAAAGGUCCGUAUAGUAAAAGCUAUGGUUUUCCCAGUGGUGAUGUAUGGAAGUGAGAGCUGGACCAUAAAGAAGGCUGAUCGCCGAAGAAUUGAUGCUUUUGAAUUAUGGUGCUGGAGGAGACUCUUGAGAGUCCCAUGGAAUGCAAGAAGAUCAAACCUAUCCAUUCUGAAGGAAAUCAGCCCUGAGUGCUCACUGGAAGGACAGAUCCUGAAGCUGAGGCUCCAAUACUUUGGCCACCUCAUGAGAAGAGAAGACUCCCUGGAAAAGACCCUGAUUUUGGGAAAGAUGGAGGGCACAAGGAGAAGGGGACGACAGAGGACGAGAUGGUUGGAUAGUGUUCUUGAAGCUACCAGCAUGAGUUUGACCAAACUGCGGCAGGCAGUGGAAGACAGAAGUGCCUGGCGUGCUCUGGUCCAUGGGGUCACGAAGUGUCGGACACGACUAAACGACUAAACAACAACAACAACAACAAUUUGUUUUUAGAAAGCAACUUCUGGUCCUGCUACCAGCUGCACGGGGGCUUUGACCCAGCACCCCUUUGGGAGCAUAAUGCUGCUACUUCGCAGGAGGGAAUUACAUAGGUGAGAUCAAACAAUAUUUUCUCUGGCUAACAGAGAGACAGCUUGCUAAGUCAUCAAUUCCCAUCCAGAGUUGUUAUCUUGUAUCUGUGUCCCAACUCAAUCUUAUUCUCACAACAACACUGUGAGGCAGGUUAGCCUGAGAGAAUAUGAGUUGCCCAAAGUCACCCACUGACCUUCCAUGGGUGAACGUCAAGGGGACAAAAACCCAGGUCUAUAAAUCCUCAUAUUUAUAGUCUAAAUACUACACCACCCUAGGAACAAAUCUCAAACUCUGAAACAGCUGUUAUAUAAAGUCGCCCAAUAGGCAUUAUACUCAUUAAGUGAGUGUAAUGGAGGGGGGUAUAGAGAGGAACUAUUUGUAGGCUUGCCAUACAUCAGGAAAAUUCCUGACAUGUCCUGGUUUUCAGGUGUAAAAAUGGCACGGGGGGGGGGGGGAUUUUGCUGAAUCGGCAAAACAUCAGGGAAACCCGGAUGUAAGGCGACACGAUGGAAAAAGCAGCAGAAACAGCUCCAGAAGCUCAAAAACUUUGCGGGUGUCAGGAAUUUUACUUUUUGACCCUAACCAUUUGGAGUUAUUGGAUAGGGGGUGGGGCUCUUCCCCAUCCAAGGAAAGUACUUUUGGACUUUGCAACAAAACCAUCCAAUCUGUUGCAUAUCAAAAAGGCAUUUGUUUGUGCAAUAAGGAAUUCUCCCCACCCACCCGACAGAGAAAGCUUUUGUAUGGAAGCAACAAAACCUAACUUCACAAUGCACAUAAUAUACAAGGCUUCAAGUUGGAUUAAGUGUACCCCACGGUUGAAAAACAAGCUUUUAGAUUAUUAUUUUUUUAAGUGCAUGCACACACAAUACGUUAACAGUAUUCGCUCCAUGAACUCCAAGUUUCCACCCUCAAUCUAAUCCUGCUGUCACAGCUCAUGAUCUCCUGUUUUAUUGAACGUCGUGAUAAGCACACAUCAUUUAUCUGCUGAAGUGGCAUGCCGUCUUCAUAGACCCAGGGUGGGGGGAGGCAGAAUCGCAGUCUGGGGACUGAUCUGUCCAGCUAUUUCAGGGAAACCUUAUGCACGUCUACUCUGAAGGAAGUCCAACAAGGCUUACUCCUGGGUGAGCAUGGAUAGGAUUGUGGCUUAAAUCAGUUUGCCCGUGGGAUGAAGCAAACAUAAGCCACAUAUCAUGAGAACAGCGGAGAAGAACAGGAACUCAAAAGCUAAAAGGCAAAUAUGGGUUAGAGACACUUCCACCUAGCGCUUGGUUUCUGGAAGUUAUUGUGAUUUAUGAAAUGAACUUGUGCUCAGAUUUUAAGCCUCCUAGCCAGCCUCCAUGUCCCUUCUGUACAGUAUCCAUCGCAGUGUUGGCAUCAAACCAGGAAUUUCACAAUGAGGUUACAAAAUAGUGGUUGAGCUUAUUCCAAGCUUCUUCUUCUUUGAAACCCACCCAUCCACCACCCACACAACUCUGCGCCCAGCCAAAUUAUGCAAAUAGUAUAGUUUUUUGUUGUUGUUUUUUUGCAUAGUUUAUCCUGGGGGGGGGGACAAGGAGCUACACAUGAUAUUGAAACCACCCUCUUUCUGGCUUCUGACAUUUCAUCAGGGGCUGCCUACAAGUUUUCAUGAGCAUUUCAUAAAAUGUAAGGGCUAGAAACUUGCUCUUUAUACAUUGAAGCUGAUUGUUGCUUUCAAAUCUAAGCUUUUAACUACAAUAAUGGAAUGAUAAUUCUAAAACUUUUUUUUAAAAAAAUGAACAUGAAAGACAGUGAAAACACAGGUAUUAUAAAACAGGGGUCAAGACCAGGGGGCUAAAGGAAGUCAAGAGGGAUUAUUUUGACAUUUUGACCUGCUUGUUUAAUUUCUUUUGUUUGCUUGUUCGUAGGGUUAUUGAAAAGUAGGUCCGUUGUUUCUUUGAAGAAACCAGACCUGCUUGCAAAAAAAAAAAAAAGUAAAUGCAACAAAAUAAAAAAGUAAAAGGGGACGCAGAGCAUCUCGACAGCAGAAAAGCAUCAUUAGUGCAGCAUUUGCGUAUCAAUAUAACAGAACUGAAGAGAUGAAAGAGACUCCUGAGUGUCAUCUAGCCCAAAGCCCUGAGGGUCACCUCAUCCAACACACACCUGUUUGUACCCAUAAUACUUCUAAGGAUGUUCCAUUGCAAUGGAGCAUGGUCAGUAGCAGCAGCGGAAGCCCUGUGCUAUCCCCAAAUACCUGCUGGACCUUAGAGGUGAAAAAUGCUUAACAAUAAAGAGCAUAAAUUACUACUAUUACUAAUAAUAAUUUACAUACACCAUGACUGCCAAAAUGGCAUCUAAGUAGGUACAAAACAGACUAUGAAAAAUAUGUUGUUGUUGUUUAGUAGUUUAGUCAUGUCUGACUUUUCGUGACCCCAUGGACCAGAGCACGCCAGGCACUCCUGUCUUCCACUGCCUCCCGCAGCUUGGUCAAAUUCAUGCUGGUAGCUUCGAGAACACUGUCCAACCAUCACGUCCUCUGUCGUCCCCUUCUCCUUGUGCCCUCCAUCUUUCCCAACAUCAGGGUCUUUUCCAGGGAGUCUUCUCUUCUCAUGAGGUGGCCAGAGUAUUGGAGCCUCAGCUUCAGGAUCUGUCCUUCCAGUGAGCACUCAGAGCUGAUUUCUUUCAGAAUGGAUAGGUUUGAUCUUCUUGCAGUCCAUGGGACUCUCAAGAGUCUCCUCCAGCACCAUAAUUCAAAAGCAUCAAUUCUUCGGCGACCAGCCUUCUUUAUGGUCCAGCUCUCACUUCCAUACAUCACUACUGGGAAAACCAUAGCUUU
rnacentral:lncRNA from 1 species